rnacentral:rRNA from 1 species
AACGAACGCUGGCGGCAUGCCUAACACAUGCAAGUCGAACGAGACCUUCGGGUCUAGUGGCGCACGGGUGCGUAACGCGUGGGAACCUGCCCUUAGGUUCGGAAUAACUCCCCGAAAGGGGUGCUAAUACCGGAUAAUGUCUUCGGACCAAAGAUUUAUCGCCUUUGGAUGGGCCCGCGUUGGAUUAGCUAGUUGGUAGGGUAAAAGCCUACCAAGGCGACGAUCCAUAGCUGGUCUGAGAGGAUGAUCAGCCACACUGGGACUGAGACACGGCCCAGACUCCUACGGGAGGCAGCAGUGGGGAAUACUGGACAAUGGGCGAAAGCAUGAUCCAGCAAUGCCGCGUGAGUGAUGAAGGCCUUAGGGAUGUAAAGCUCUUUUAUCCGGGAUGAUAAUGACAGUACCGGGAGAAUAAGCUCCGGCUAACUCCGUG